UGGGACGGGUGGCGGUGCCUCUGGUGGGUGAUGGACUCUUACUCCGACACGGGGAACUUGGACAGCUUUGGACAGGACAAGGCGGGCCCUGGCAGGAGACUGCGGCGUCCAGAUGGGGACCCAGAGCCUGCUCUUGGGAACAGCCAGAGUAAGAUUGGAACCCAGACUUGCACUCCAGCGCUGUUUGCAUUAAAAGGCAAAGGGAGGGGACCCACCCCAGUGAGGAAGUAGAUUGCUGCCUCUAGCCAGAGACCCGAACUGGGGAAUUUGAACAUUCCUUUACAUUGUUGGAGAAAUGAAGCCAAAGUUAUUCAGAUGGUUUUCCCAGUCUAAAGGAAAGUCACCUGCAAGAGAUGCCGGCACCGACCUGGAGCAGCUGGCAGGGUGGGUCUCCCUUACCAAAGAGAAGAACCACUCUCUGGCGCUGGGGUGACCUGCUGGCUGGGCCUGUAAGGUUUCCAUGUUGCUGAGGCCAUGGAGAUUCCCAGAGCUGGUCACACCGACCGUUCUCAGGGCCCGCUGCCCUGGGCUGGCAACACCAUUCUGGCCUUGGCCUGCAGAAGCUUUCAGAGUCUUCACUGGCAAUAGGGGGAGAUGGGGAGAGGAAUG
rnacentral:sRNA from 1 species